UGAGGAAUAUUGGGCAAUGCCCGCAAGGGUGACCCAGCAACGCCGCGUGGAGGAUGAAUGUCGUAAGAUUGUAAACUCCUGUUAGAGGGGAAGAAUAGUACCGGUUGGACCGGUAUAUGACUGUACCCUCAGAGAAAGCCCCGGCUAACUACGUGCCAGCAGCCGCGGUAAUACGUAGGGGGCAAGCGUUGUCCGGAUUUACUGGGUGUAAAGGGCGCGCAGGCGGGAUAAAAAGUCAGUGGUGAAAUCCUACAGCUUAACUGUAGAACUGCCUUUGAUACUUUUAUUCUUGAGUUCGGGAGAGAGAGACGGAGUUCCAGGUGUAGUGGUGAAAUACGUAGAUAUCUGGAAGAACACCUGUUGCGAAGGCGGUCUCUUGGUCCGACACUGACGCUGAGGCGCGAAAGCGUGGGGAGCAAACA
rnacentral:rRNA from 1 species